UUGCGAUGAAUUGGGCUUUAUGAUGGCUUCAGCUGACAUCGUCUUCUCAAAGAUGAU
rnacentral:tRNA from 1 species